AAAUGAAUAUGUUUGAAUCUUUUCAAGAAUUAUCAUUAGUCAUUAUACUUAAAAGAAAAUAAACAAGACAAGUCACAUGACAUGAACAUUAAGCUACUUCCAGGCAGUGGAGAGCUCUUCCAGUUCCUGUGUAUUUACGAUAGCUUCAAUUUUGCCUUAUGUUGAAUUUGCAGGGCUUUAACUAUAUAACUUUAGUUGCAAUGAUUAAUUUUCUAUAUAAUUUUAACUCAUGUUAAUUUAUCAUGCAAUGACUCUCAGCAUAGCACAUGCUUAUCAUGCUUUACUCUGAAAGUCAUUGCUACAAGCUCUAAUCAAUGAGUAUAGUUGUGUGAAAAUGGUACAAAUCGGAGCUAGGAUUGUGCUGUCAUUCUGAGAUGGAUCUGUGACCAUAUGAAUAUCAUUGGAAAUGAGUGAAUGGGUUCUCUGAUCAAGUCUUUGGUUAGAAGUUCUUUCUGUAAUUAUUCCCCUGUUUACAGUAGAGCACUCUGUAAACAGGGGCACUCUGUUCUACAAUAGUUUCUCUUACAGAACAGAAUGGACAACUUGUCUGUUGUUGCUGUUGACUUUUGUGUAUUGAAUAUAGUUGCAAGCUUCUUGUUAAGGAAAUAUCAUAGGAUUGUAUGCUUGAAAUGUUUUCAGACAUACAAUCCUGUGAUUUUCCUUAACAAAAAACUUGUGUCAUGGGAACUACCUCCAUUCCUUAGUAUAGUGUUUCUUUUAGUGAUAUAUUUUAUUUUUAUUUAUUUAAACUCCAUCACACAAAAACAAUGCAGGUGCCCCCAUUACAUAAAAACAUGAAUAACACAAAGAGAAAUAAGUAUUAAAAUAUACAUAAAUAUGGAAAAAACAAAAUAACAAUAGUGUAAAAAUUAGAAUUUAAAAUUUUGGC
rnacentral:lncRNA from 1 species